UGGGCUAUAGACUGAAUGCAUAUGUACUACCAGAUAUGAAACAGGAAAGCACAAGAGAAAAAAAACACGUUAUUCACAAACUUGAGGACAACUGCUCUGAGGGAAUGGCUUAACGGGGUACGGGAUGCCUUCAUUAUCCAGAGAUUUGUUAUUAUGUCCGUGCCAACAUGUUGUUCUCUCUUAGCAGCAUCAUAAACGAUGUGUCCAUGCCAACUCUGGCUCUAGGCGACCCAAAGAACCAUCUGCUGCCUUGAUUGCAGACGGCUUGUCCUGACAUGUGCCAGCAGGACAAGCGGCAGCAUAAUGGCACAUGGCGGUGGUGGAGUGCAGCAGCAGCCAAGUGACAACAAAAGGGGCUGUUUGCUCUCUAUUUUGGGUGCUGGGGUAUCUUCAGGUCACCUUCUAGUUAAGCAGUUGCAAGACUUUAUUCCUGGGACUCUAUACCAGUGCACAGGAUGGAAGGACAUCAGCUUGAGACAUGGCAUUUAACAUCCCAGAUUGCAUGAGACUUAUGAUGAAAUCAUGAAAAACAAUACUCUGUAGCAGACAUGGUGAAGGACAAGGACUUUUCGUCCAUUUUAACUGUCAGUUCUAAAAUUAAUCUUGCAUUAGAACUACCUGAAGAACAGCACAAUAGCAAAACUUUGAAGAACAAUCUGCAAAAGACUUGCAUUUGUAAGCAAUAGUAUUUGGAUGACAUCUGGUUUUGGCAAACAUUCCUGACGCUUUAAAGACACUUCUUUGAAAAACAAAUGGGCCUUAGAGCUUUCCUCUUCAGCAGUUAACUCAUCUGAAGUAGCC